GGCUGGUGUGAAUGGCAGUGGGAUGUCAGAACUUACCUUAGUGUCACUGUAGUUGGCAUACAACCCGCCCCCCCACUGCUAAAUUUGACUGGCCUUUU
ensembl:Y_RNA Y_RNA Y RNA